CCUACUUAGGAGAUUGUCUGCAGGUGUGGACGGACGGUGCUGCAGGAGCCUGGCCAGACAACAGACCGGCGGGGUAUACUACGAACCUCGCUGAAAAUACCCAGCCAUUCGACAGAGACGCAACUCACGAUCAGAGUUAAAUGGUACUACGAAGCUCACUUAGGAUUAGAGGGGUUUUAUAUGCGUCUGAAAAAACCCCAGUACAGAAACAAUAGGGGCUAAGCAGCUUCGCUGCUCGGACACCUAAUAAGGGCCGUUCAGGAUGCUGCCAAGUUACGGGUGCAAUGGAGACGGUGUCUCGCAGAGCGCUCAGAGAGCAGAUGUUCUCGUGUGGUAACAUUGCCCUCUGCUGUCCACAUCCGCUCACUACACACACAGGGACGCAAGAUCAUACGGGACUUGCUUUUCACCAACUUGACAUCAGUAACGCACACACACACACACACACACACACUCAUGCACACAGUAAGGUGAAUUGAAUGAAGACUUUUUUGUUUUGAAGUAUGAAUCUAAAUCAGUCAAAUCAGACUCAUCCCUUUAAUUAAAAUGAGGGAGGUCAUAUAAGAUCAAACACAGAGCUGAAAUAGCCUCUUACUGUUACCAAGUGAGAACCUGCGUUGGGUUUCACUAAUUAGCUCACCUGCCGCAGCUCGCCUGCCUUUCUUAAUUAGUUAAUUGGUUGCAUCUGGUGCGUUUCACUUAAGAGGGAGCCGGACAGUACGUUGGAGUUCUCCACUGGCAGUGUAGCGUCUCCCAAACGCGGUUAAAGACUUUUUGAAGUAAGGAGGAGCAUCUCAUCUGAACCUGAUGUCUAGCAUGGAUAUUUAACUGCAGUUCUGUGAGUAUCCCAACUUAACCAUGAAGAUGAACUGCAAACUGUAAGUGAUUAGUUUCUCAUUACUCUUGGGCACAUUGAUGUACUUUGGCUUCCUGGCGAGUUAACCUGUUAGCUGAAGGUUGAUCUGAGAAGUGAGGAUGUUUUAUUGGUUCAUGGGUUACUGAGGUGUUUGUUUUAUGUUGGUUUUAAUGGUUUGUUAAAACGGUUACAGGUUCUAAGUUAUUGUUGUAAGCUGGAGUAAUGGGUUGGGUUCUGAUAUCUUCAGUCUUCUUUCCAGCUACUCUCCUGAGCUCUGCAUCUUCAUCACAUGAGUGUUGCUUUACUGAUGAGGUUGUGGUCUGAGUGAGCAGAGGUGCAUACUGGGAUACAGAGCUGUCUGAAGUCUACAUGUCUGUAGACGCGCCCCCUCAGGGGAAACCGAGUGUUUGAGAAACCGUCGUGACGUCAGUUACCUGGACUAGAAUGUUCUUUAAGAUGGAGACAGGGAUUCAGAAGGAGAAACGCCAGGGGGAGAUGAGGGGGGCUCCUCAUCUCAACGACUGAAACACAACUACAGUCUGACACAAAGAACCAUGGAACACAUUCAACAGUCCCCUCCAGGCAUCGUGAAUCCUCAGGAACAGUUUCAUUUCCAAUAAGGUCUUAUUUGGGGCCAUCCCCAGAUGUAUCCUGCUCCUCAAGAGCCACCCCCCUCCACUGGGUUGUCUUCUGAACAGAUGACUUCCUUCCUGUCGUCAGGCUGACUAAAGCUGCACCGUUUGCAUCUGUGAAGGCCCCUCAUUCAGGAAACCACUGGACUACAAAGACAUGACUUCAGAGACGUUGAAUCAACCUUGGAGACGCCAAGAAUAAUCCAUCACCAAUGUGGGACGCCACUGAAGAAUGUUGUGCAUAAUUUACGUCUCUGGAGACAUUGGUUGUUCUGUUCUGGGUGCCCUGGCAGGAGAGCUGGGGUUGGAUGAUGGAAUGUUCUUUGGCAUGAGGCUUUUACCCUGCAUGAUUGUUUGGCAUUUUAUGGCUCAGUGGUGUGUGUGGGUUUGACAUGAGAUGGAUGAUUUUUGAGCAUCUGGCAUGGGGUUCUACGCGUGUUUGGUUCCACUUGGCAUGGGGUUCUACGUCCGUGUCCUGGGUUCUGUGUGUGUGUGUGUGUGUGUGUGUGUGUGUGUGUGUGUGUGUGUCCUGCUUGCUUUGACGGUGAUAAUGUUCAUACGGGGUUCUGUGUGGUUGGCUUGGGAUAUUGGAAUGGUCAACUAAAUCAUCCCUGAUGGACAGCCACACGUUUACUUAAGGGCCUCCAGUAGACGUGAAGAGCCCUGAGCGACGCUCCGGAGCGAUAUCCAACACACUGGGCAGGAAGGAGAGUAUCCAACUCGAGUGUAAAAGGAUGCAAGCAGCGUGUUCAGAUCAGUGACUUCAAACUAGGACUACACCCAUCAGGAUCAAUGGAGGAUGGACACCUAAAGGAAUUCCACAAGGAGAGUCUGACGUUGGAAAUGGACCUAAAUGGAUAUUCAAGAUGACCUUCAGACCUGCAAGGAGACGGCUCUUCAUACCUGGCUGGAUUGAUGGAGAGCCCUGUGGAUCUUGUCUCGCUCUCAGUUGCACGUCUUCGCAGGCUGAACUGUAUUUGUUUCGGACAGGACUAGCUGAACGAUUGGUUCUGAUUUAAGGGAACCAAUCGUGGGAACUCCAACUAGUGCGCUCUUCGAGCUGAAGUUGUGCUCUUCAGCUGAGGUAAGGAAACCUUCACUGGGGCUUCAAGGUGUAAAGAGGAGGACUGUUUCAAAGUGUUCCAUGGUACUCUGAUGAGGACCGUUGUUGUGUUCCACUGGCUGAGGGGAAGAACCCUCACAUCUUCCUCUUGGCCUUUCUCCUCUGAGAAUCCUGCCGCCAUCUUGAAGGAUAUUCUAGCGCAUGUAACUUAUGUCACGACACAUUCUCAAACACUUGGUUUCUCCUGAGGGGCUUGUCUAUAGAACUGAAGACGUCAGACAGCACUGUAUCCCAGCAUGCAUCUCUGCUCUCAGACCACACCCCCAUGAGUAGGAUGCAACACUAGCGAUGGAGAUGUAGAGUUUUAUAAGUAACGAGGGACAAGACAAAGGUGAUUAGAACACAAUGGCAUGUCAAGUCUGGAAAUCUUUAAACCAUGAAGAUGGUUGGAUAGUUCAGGAAUUGGGCUUUAUUUUAGUAUGGGCAGUCCUUAUUGAAUGAUUCCAUUGUUUUUAGGCAAGGAUUUGUUGUUGUGGGAUGUACAUGGUAGUUUGGUUCUUCGUAUGGUUUUGAUUGAUAUAACUUGUACACACUGGGUGCAUAAUAAUUUAAAGGUACACUGAAUAGUAGUAAUGACCAACGGCAACAAACAGAUCUCCUCAAGGUAAGUCUGUUGGCUGUGUUUUCAUGAAGACCAUCACUGGACUUUAGGAUCUUCCUCCGUUCAGCUCAAGGUGAGGCGCUGGUUAUGUUUUUUCUUUGGUUGGUUCCGGCUGGAAUGUUUGGAUUCCAGUCGGACGGUUUGUGCUUCCCGCCGUGGAAGGUUUUGAGUGCGGUCACUUGAUUUAGUCCCAAUGGAUAGCAUAGAACGUUGUAGUCUUGACAACCAUUAGAAGCCACCUAGCAGUUAGUUGGAUAGGAAUCUGGCUGAACGUUCUGGAUUGUAUUUGCGUAACCUCGAGCCGUUGCCAACGGAAACUAUUUUUCAGUCAGUUUCCAUUGGGAAAUGUUUUCCCCUUAUCUUAAACAACUUAAGUUUGAUAUUAAAUACAUACUGACACGUACAAUCGUACAAUAUGUUGAUAAUUUCCGAUGGUUGCGGCGUACUUUUAACCACGUUAACGGGACUCUCGCUGCGUACGAAACGGCAUUCUACUUGCGGGCCCAUUUCUGACAUCAGUGAAGGCUGAAAAACAUUUCAAGGUGGAAGGCAAUUUGACAUUUCUUCAGCGGAACCCAGCACCUGAAUAUGGCGAGUAAAUUUGAUUUAAUAUCAAUACUACUUGGUGUUCUUUGUUACUUCUAUCUGCUGUCAUUAAUUGCCACAUAAGUUAAACCCUACCUAAUGGAAUGACGUUAAACAAUGACUUUGGUGCUGAGUUACCAACUGGAUAAUAUCAAAGCUAAAAUAAUGGCCGUCCUUCCCAUGUGUUACAGUAGAAGAUACUCUGUAUCUGUACAAGGUUAAAAAGGUAACAUGUAGUUUGUCCCAAGGUGUCCACCUCCUCACCCAGAGCCAGACCUCCACCUCCUCACAAGUCCUCCAGAACAGCUGAAAGGCGAGGCUGGGGACCGGAGGCUUGUGGUGCCAGGGUGGACCGGAGACUGAGGCUGGAGACCAGGGGCCUGCAGCACCGGACCAGGGGACCAGGAAUCCAUGGCUGAAGGAGCUGAUGGAGGAGCCGUGCUGAAGGAGCUGAUGGAGGAGCCGUGCUGAAGGCCCUGCCUGGUGGAGGAGCUGACGGAGGCCCUGCCUGGUGGAGGAUGUCUGUCGUGGGGUAGAUGGAGCCUGACUCUGAAACCAGGACUCUGUCUGAGGAGAGCUGAUGGAGGAGCUGAGACGCUGGAGGACGACUAGGAAUCGACCAACAAGGAUUCCUCGACGUGUUUCUGGAGCGGAGGCGAGCUGGUAGGGGAGCCAUGAAUCUGGAGGAUGACCAUGACUCUACCAACAAGGAUUACGUUGGGGCCAGACUUGCGCUGUUUGUUCCAGACCAGGACUCUGGGUGAGGAGAGCUGAUGGAGGAGCCAAGACCCUGGAGGACGACAUCACUCUACCAACAAGGAUCCUCGUAAGUUUGCAUUAAAGACAAAUUACAUUUGUAACCAGACAAGGAAUCUGGAGGACUGACGGAGAAGCUGUACAUCUGGAAGGCAAAUCCUGAGGACGACCAGGACUCUACCAUCAAGGAUUCCUCGUAAGUUUGCAUUAUCUGGAUAUAGUGGACUAGACGCACCUGAGCUGAACCCGCCCUGAUCCUGACAUCCUGCUGGUCCCGUCUCCUCAGUUCAUCUGAGCCUCGUCCUCCAGAAGACCUGCUGAGCUCAGCGGUCUGAGGCUGAUGGAUCAAUGACCUCCAGUGGGAGUGAUCUUCUUGACCCCACAUGUAACCUUGUGCUUCCACACGCCUUUCCCUCACGUUUGUCACUAACCUCACUACUUCACUACUCUCUACUGCUUCCUCUUCCUUCUCUGUGGUUCGAACCUUUACACUGAAGGCGCGUCUUCCUGCCCUCAGAGGGUUUAGCGUUAGGGUUGAGAGUCAGGGUUUAGAGUCAGGGACAGAGCUGGUCAGGGAGGACUGCUUUUACACAAACCUCUUCACUUGCUUUCGGAAUGGUGGUGACAUUUUGAAAAGAUUCAUUUGGGAAAAUGUUUUCAUCUGCUUCCCUUUACAAAAUUGUAUUGAACUUCUGUCAAGUGUUUUUGUUUAUAUAUUAAAAUCCCACAUUGACUUCUACAUGUUUGGUGCGGUUCAUUUAAUUGUCCUUUUAACUUGGUUAAUGUCAAGCUAAACUCCUGCAAUACAUUUAAUAUACAUGAUUGUUAUUCAGCAAUGUUCACAUAAUCCAUUUAGUAAAAAUAUGAAACCUCAAUAUUACUACAAAAUUCAAGCCUAUUCAUGUAUUUAACAAUGUACAUACUGCCCUGCAGGCCAUUCUCUGCUACUACAACACUUUCAAACCACCAACCCAUCUCACAUCAAUGUACUAUAGCUACGUUGGUUCAAACGGAAAAUGUAGUUUGGUGCGAGACUGUUGUCCAGCAGAGGGAGCUGUCAUACACCUUAAUUAUGCAGGGAUGUCUGUGUAUUUACAUUUUAAAAUGUUCAUGUGCUGGUCUUGUUUGUCUGCAAAUAACUCUGUGGAUAAGCAGCACAGCAGUCAGGUAGCUAUUUUAUGCUAAAAUAAACUGCAUAUUUUGUUGAUUUAUGUGAAGCAUUAUGAUUUUUUUUUUCAUGCAAAUUAAAGCAUAGAAAUAAUUUUGGCUUUUUAUUUUUCCGUCUGGGCUAAGCCCCGGAUGUUUAUGAGACCUAGAAACACCCCUGC